rnacentral:rRNA from 1 species
GUGAACGCUGGCGGUAGGCCUAACACAUGCAAGUCGAACGGCAGCACAGUAAGAGCUUGCUCUUACGGGUGGCGAGUGGCGGACGGGUGAGGAAUACAUCGGAAUCUACUUUUUCGUGGGGGAUAACGUAGGGAAACUUACGCUAAUACCGCAUACGACCUACGGGUGAAAGCAGGGGAUCUUCGGACCUUGCGCGAUUGAAUGAGCCGAUGUCGGAUUAGCUAGUUGGCGGGGUAAAGGCCCACCAAGGCGACGAUCCGUAGCUGGUCUGAGAGGAUGAUCAGCCACACUGGAACUGAGACACGGUCCAGACUCCUACGGGAGGCAGCAGUGGGGAAUAUUGGACAAUGGGCGCAAGCCUGAUCCAGCCAUACCGCGUGGGUGAAGAAGGCCUUCGGGUGGUAAAGCCCUUUUGUUGGGAAAGAAAAGCAGCAGGUUAAUACCCCGCUGUUCUGACGGUACCCAAAGAAUAAGCACCGGCUAACUUCGU